ensembl:lncRNA
CUAGGGUAAAUAUAGGGAAAGGGACUGAAUCCUGUUUAGAUCCAAUGUGGGUGUCUGCGUCUAUGGCAGGGAGGUGUGAGUUGCGAGUGAUGAGACUCCACCGUAGGGAGUGAUCAUUACCCUAUUGUUGGUAGGUUUGAGGCUGGUGUGUGUAUGCAGAGCAGAGGUCAUGGCAAGAGGUGGUGUUAUGAGAAGGCUGAUUGGAUCAAGUUCAAGUACUUGCGUGAGAGGGUAGGACGGAAGUUGACGAUGGAGGGAUCAGUGAAUGAAUGUGCUCAGGAACUGACAAGUAUGCUAGUGGCAGCAGCAAAUGGAAAAUGUUCAGGAAAAUGUUGGGUAAAGGAGGAGAUGCGGAAAUACCAGUGUUGGUGGUGGGGGAUGCAAUUGCUAUGACCGGUAAGGAAAAGGUGGAUGCGUUGGGGGUAGCAUUUGCGAAGGUUCACAGUGGCGAGCACCUAUGUGAGGAGGCGAUGCGAGAUGUUAAAACAAAACGGAGAUGUGUUUCAUAAGAAGGUAGGGACGGAGGAGGUGAUGGAUGCGGAAUUCAGUUUGAGCUGACGAGGGCACUGGUGGUAUGCAGGCGUUCGGCACCGGGAGAGGAUAGGGUAUGCUAUGAGAUGGUGAUGAAGGCCCCUGAUAAUGUAAUGGAAGCUAUAGUAGGGCUGUUUAACAAGGUGUGGAGGACUGGGGUGCUGCCGGACGGGUGGAAGCAGGCCGUAGUACUGCCGUUUGCUAAACCGGGUAAAGAUCCAGGGAAGGUGGAUAGCUAUAGACAAAUAGCUUUGACCUCAAACUUAUGUAAACUGAUGGAAAAGAUGAUAGUUAAAAGAUUGAUAUUCUACCUGGAAAGUAAGGGAUUGAUGAGUGAAGCACAGAGUGGGUUCAGGAGAGGAAGGUCUACUAUGGAUGCACUGGUGGUGGUUAGCACAGAGAUAGCCAAGGCACUUGCUAUGAAGGAGAAGAUGGUGGUGGUGUACUUUGAUAUAGAGAAGGCGUAUGACACUAUGUGGAGAGAGGGGGUGUUAAUGAAGUUAAGUGCAUUGGGAGUUGAGGGAGUUGUAUAAUUGGAUUCUGAAUUUCUUGUUUGACAGGUACAUACAGGUAUGGGUAUGGCACUAUAUGCAGAUGAUGGGGCUUUGUGGAAGAGCGGUAAGAAUGAGAAGUUUGUAAUGAGGAAGAUGCAAGAGGCGGUGGAUGUGGUGGAAGAAUGGUCCAAGAGAUGGGGUUUUAGGAUGUCUGUGACUAAAUCGUGUUUCAUGAUGUACUCGAGGAGGAGAGUGAGAGAGGUUCGGUUACAUAUGUAUGGACAGGAAUUGGGAAGGGUGUUAGAGUUUAAAUAUUUGGGAGUAUGGUUUGAUGAGAGGCUUACAUUCAGGAAACAUGUGCAUGCUACACACACACACACACACAAACGUCCAUUACUUUCGAGGCUCCCCCUUUUCAAUCGGCCUCUCUCCAAACGCCGUCUUACCGUGUGUUCGUGUUCAUCUGCGUCGACAGAUAAUAAAGAGCCCACUAUAGCGAGAAAAGCCGCAGCUGCUACCUUCCACCUGGAAGACCCCAUUCUUUUUCGGAGUAGGAAUACAGCGAGAUUGGGGAUGUUAGCUUUGUAGGGCUAUCCCACCUUCUUCCUGGUUGUAUGACAGAGGCAAUUUUAGGGAUGCUCUCGUUCGCAUUUGGCGUAAGCGCUUCACCACCGCACAUCGCACGCAAAUUUGAUGGGCUGACUUGAGUCACAUGACCCGCAUCCUCCAGUCACGGGGGAAAGCGAUGGAUCAAACGGUGGAUAAAAAAACUCCCGCCUGCGUAUCGUCCGCAACCUUCAGCCACGUCAUCC